rnacentral:rRNA from 1 species
AAUGAACGCUGGCGGCAGGCCUAACACAUGCAGGUCGAACGGAUCCUCCGGGAUUAGUGGCGGACGGGUGAGUAACGCGUGGGAACAUACCCUUUGGUACGGAAUAGCCUCGGGAAACUGGGAGUAAUACCGUAUGUGGUCGAGAGACGAAAGAUUUAUCGCCAAAGGAUUGGCCCGCGUUGGAUUAGGUAGUUGGUGGGGUAAUGGCCUACCAAGCCGACGAUCCAUAGCUGGUUUGAGAGGAUGAUCAGCCACACUGGGACUGAGACACGGCCCAGACUCCUACGGGAGGCAGCAGUGGGGAAUCUUAGACAAUGGGGGAAACCCUGAUCUAGCCAUGCCGCGUGAUCGAUGAAGGCCUUAGGGUUGUAAAGAUCUUUCAGGUGGGAAGAUAAUGACUGUACCACCAGAAGAAGCCCCGGCUAACUCCGUGCCAGCAGCCGCGGUAA